AUACGUAGGGGGCGAGCGUUGUCCGGAAUGAUUGGGCGUAAAGGGCGCGUAGGCGGCCUGUUAAGUCUGGAGUGAAAGUCCUGUUUUCAAGAUGGGAAUUGCUUUGGAUACUGAUGGGCUUGAGUGCAGGAGAGGUUAUCGGAAUUCCCGGUGUAGCGGUGAAAUGCGGAGAGAUCGGGAGGAACACCAGUGGCGAAGGCGGGUAACUGGACUGCAACUGACGCUGAGGCGCGAAAGUGUGGGGAGCAAACAGGAUUAGAUACCCUGGUAGUCCACACUGUAAACGAUGAAUGCUAGGUGUAAGAGGUAUCGACCCCUUUUGUGCCGGAGUUAACACAAUAAGCAUUUCGCCUGGGGAGUACGGCCGCAAGGUUGAAACUCAAAUGAAUUGACGGGG
rnacentral:rRNA from 1 species